rnacentral:tRNA from 1 species
GCUCCCGUAGCUCAAUUGGAUAGAGCGUCUCGUUUCUACCGAGAAGGUUCCAGGUUCGAGUCCUGGCGGGAGCACCA